CUCCUCCCGCAUUUACUAUCCAGACUACCAUCGUCUCUUCCAAAUCCCACCACAACCCUAAUUGAAUGUUGCACUUGAAGGGUCGUGCGUUUCCAUCCCACCCACUCAAUUUUAGGUUUAGCGUUUCCUUUAUUAAUUCAAUCAUCCCCUUGAUUUUGAUGUAUUUUCAUUGAGAAGAUUGAAAGAGCAAUCAAGUGCCAAAGAGUCGUCCAAGAGCACCUUCAUCUGUCGUCCUUCGAUUCUUCAAUCUCUGUAAUUUUAUUCUCACCAAGCUGUUUCUUAUAUGUUGUUAUUUGAUUCAGCAAUUAGCAUAUACGUUUGGGGAUUUUGCCCUUUUCUUCUAUUGUUGAUGAUUUUCUUCGUUAUCCAUACUGUUUACAAUAAUUGUAGUUUGCAAUUGAUCAUGAUGAUGAACAAAAGAAACUGUUGAUGUUGAAUGAUGAUGAGUCCACACCAAAAGAUAAAGGUUAUGGUUGGGGACCAAAAUGUGGGAAUUAUUAGAUUAAUCAGUUUAGUAUGUCAUAGUAGUUGGUGUUAUGUGCUUGAGAUUUGUUUAUUGUGCAAAAUUUUGCUGGAAAUUUCAGGAUUUUACUGGAAUGUUGUCGAAAUCUAACCAAAAUCCGGCUGAAAUCUGGUUUGAAGGUCGCCAGGGAUGAAAUCUAAAACCAGGAGGCAACCUUAACACACCAUCUUUUAAAUAAUUCAGUUUCUCCAUAUCCCAAUAAGUCGUUCAACAACAGUUUUCUUUGAAACACAAGAGUUGAUUAAUAAAAUGGAAAUUAAAAUAGUUUCAGUAAUAUGGGAAAAUGUUUAAGAAUCCAUAUUGAAAACGAUGAAACUGUGAUUACUAGGGCUAUUCUUAGCAUGCCCAUCAGGGUUGGAGUUGCCUACAUUGGUAUGUGUUUCUUUUAUCUUUCAACUUUCUUAAUUUGUGUUUUGUGAUCAGUUGAGUUCUGUAGUAUCAUGCAAACCAAGUGUUUGAUGAAAUGCCUCAAUGAACAAAGUAGGUCUAAUCCUGCAAACCAUGUUGAUUUUUUACUCAAAGGUGCUGGGAUUAAUAACUUAUUUUGAUAAAAACAAUAAAUGUGUAAUUUUUAUGAGUCUAAAUAAGAACCGCUAUUGUCCAAAUGCUAGAAAUUGACAUAUUCAAUGUUAUCGGCAGGUUCGGGCAAGACAUAUAUCAUGGGUACUGGAUUCAAAGAUGGUUGCCAAACAUGGCUUAUCCUCAAGCCAUGAAUGCAUUGUUCAACAAGAUUGAAUCUUUACAGCAUCAACUAGAGUUCCAAUUGCAUGUUUCUUUCAUUGAGGAUUUUUUGGAUACUUCAAAGAAAUAGUAAGUUAAGAGGCUUAUGAGAACAGAGAGAAAAAGUGGUGUAUCAAGUGCAUCCAAAAGCACCUCUCGUAGAGGGAGGCUAGAGUGGCGCUAAGUGAGAGAUUCAGUUGUGUUAUGAAUGAAGCUUCUCAUGUUGAUAAUGAAGCUUCCCAUGUGACUACCCAGGCAAGUUUUUGUAGAGGAAGGAGAAGCAAAAGCUGCUUCAGUUAAAUGUCAUGUUUAUAGAAACACAUUCUGGGUUCAACAUAAAAGCUCUAUUAGAAACAUAGCAUCGGUGUGACGACGUUACGAGGAAUGGAAACUCUCUUUCAUGAACAAAACAUGAAAAAGUGGUUGAUGUGAAUUUGAAGUCUUCCAAGUGUGAGUUCAUCCCAACCCGAAUCUGGUGGCUGUGCUUGGUGAUGGAUGGAUGCACAUCAUGAUACUGGUUCUACAAUUUGCAAGGUCGAAAACAUAAAUAUAUCAAUAGGAGCCCUCAUGUUUAUUGCUUUAGUAUCAUCAUUUACCAUAAAUGUAUGUGAUCAUUUCUCGUUUUUUUUUUUUUUUUGACUUUACGAACAUUCAGUUUGUUUUUGAGUUGUCAUUUUGACGUGUGUAAAACGAUCCACGUCACAAGUAUUCUUUAUUUGGUAUAUCAGUUAAAUAAAAAAUUUGGGAUGAA